rnacentral:lncRNA from 1 species
AAAGGCCCGAGGUGAAACCAGAACUGGAUGCCGCGGACGAAUUCCCGAAGCCAAAUGGAGUGGUGGAAGGGGCAGAGGAAGCGGAAUUCCCGCCCAAGCCUAAGGGAGAGGUGGAGGGAGCAGGAGACGACGUCACUGAAGUGGAGCUAGGAAAACCAGAACCCGGUGCUACGGUCGAAUUCCCAAAGCCAAAAGGAAAGGUGUAGGGAGCAGGAGACGAAGUCGUCGUUGAAGUGGAGCUAGGGUUAGUGAAUGAGAAUGGUGAAGACGAGAAGGCUGUUGUGGGGGUGGAAGAAGCGGUAGGGUUUGUGGAGAAGGAGAAGAGAGGGGAAGGCGCGGAGGAAGAGAAGAGGGGCGAAGAGGAAGAGGAAGAGAAUAAUGAAGAGGCGGAAAAGCCGGUCCCAGCCAUUGUGGUAGAUUGAGGGCGGGGACUUGGGCAUAAGACGGCGGCGAGAGGGAGGCGAACGGCGAGGAAGACUGCACAGAUGC